rnacentral:lncRNA from 1 species
CGCUCCACAUUUCUUUCUCUAAAUUUAGUGCUGUGGCAUUCAGCUAAAACCACCUUGUGUCCAAUAAUAUACUUCCUGGUCUGCCCUGAGGUCUUCAGGAAGCAUUUUAUCUUUCAUAUAAUUGCCAGGGUGAAUCCCUAGUUAUAACAUACUCUACAGCACAUAAAAUAAUUGUUGCAACUGAACCCAUCACAUAAAUAUUAGUGAUUGAAGAGAUUGGUUGAGAUAAAUCAAUGUGGGUGACAUAUUUAAUAAACUUUGUAUAAACAUUGUUUGCAACAGCUAUAAAUAAAAUUGUCUUUAGGAAUUUUACAUAUUGCACAUCCCUCUAUUCAUGGAGAGGCACAGGCAUGAUUUCUAGCUGCACUAAAUGACAAGAAGUGCCUUUUCAAACCUGCCCAGAUCAGACCAGGCAAGCAGAGUUGGAGAGCAUGCCCACACCAGGCCUGGCAUGUGCCAUGGCUUGCUCCACGGUCCGAGCUCACCACAUCGCUCACUUGCCAGCAGGCAUGAGGUUCAGUUUGAGGAGAUCUUCAAGCCAACACGAUUCUUCUUUCCUUUUUUUUUUUUUUCCCAAAGAAAAAGCUACGCCAUAAAUAAAGCAUGAUCGAGAUGGCAUUUUACAUUCACACAGAUUUUGGCAUAAAUAAAUAAAAGGGAUUUUGUUCAAAUUCUGUCAUCCUUACAUGCCAUUUUCAAAUUAUCUUUCCCUACUAGUUCAGCAUAUUCGACUAGACUGUGAGAGUCGUCUUGGCUCCCUCCAGUGGCUGACUGAACUCUGAUGAAACCACAGGGGUAUAUCUCAAGGCCCUACAGCCUGGUGUUUCAGUGUGGAAUCACUUCCUUCUGACAAAAUGAGAUCAAAUCCCUUUGGGAAUUCUGCUUCACUCUUAACAUGCAUUCCCUUCCCAGAAAGGUUUAAGGUUGUCCGAGGAACCACAAAUUUCCCACUAGUUUUAGAAAGACCCUUUUGUGACCAGAAUGACCAUAGCUCUGACUGGAUAAAAACCCAGGACAACUUGAGAAGAAGCACCAGGACAACUUCUGUGACACUGAACUGGCCAAUAUCGUACAAACCAGGCCUACUUUGUCAUGCCAAUGACAGGCCAAUG